rnacentral:rRNA from 1 species
AGUGAACGCUGGCGGUAGGCCUAACACAUGCAAGUCGAACGGCAGCACAGUAAGAGCUUGCUCUUACGGGUGGCGAGUGGCGGACGGGGGAGGAAUACAUCGGAAUCUACUUUUUCGUGGGGGAUAACGUAGGGAAACUUACGCUAAUACCGCAUACGACCUACGGGUGAAAGCAGGGAAUCUUCUGGCCUUGCGCGAAUGAAUGAGCCGAUGUCGGAUUAGCUAGUUGGCGGGGUAAAGGCCCACCAAGGCGACGAUCCGUAGCUGGUCUGAGAGGAUGAUCAGCCACACUGGAACUGAGACACGGUCCAGACUCCUACGGGAGGCAGCAGUGGGGAAUAUUGGACAAUGGGGGCAAGCCUGAUCCAGCCAUACCGCGUGGGUGAAGAAGGCCUUCGGGUUGUAAAGCCCUUUUGUUGGGAAAGAAAAGCAGCAGGUUAAUACCCCGCUGUUCUGACGGUACCCAAAGAAUAAGCACCGGCUAACUUCGUG